rfam:Salmo salar isolate Sally breed double haploid chromosome ssa26, whole genome shotgun sequence.
GUCUCUGUUGGUAGAACAUGGCACUUACAAUGCCAGGGUUGUGGGUUCAAUUCCCACAGGAGACC